UCAUAUUGCAUACUCUCUCUAAUUCUCCUGUUCACACUACUUUCUUCAUCCCUAAGUUUCCUCAAUUCCUCCAUAGUUAACAUGGUAUCAUCGUCGGUAUGGCUAGUCGCCGUUCUCGGUCUUGAGGUAUUUUUUGUUACUCUGUUUUCUUCCUUGGAUGUGCUACGUAAUUGAAGUGGGAUUCUAAGCGUCGUGGUUCUGCGAUCGGUUAAAGUUGGUGAUCAAUUGUGAAGGGGUUUUGCGAUUUCUAUACUGGGGAUCAUAUCAGGUGAUAUCAAUUCACUCGUUGUUAUUCGUUUAUGUUCAAUUCGUGUUGGUCGAUCAUUUUUGUUCAUUCUUGAUGUUGUGAAUCUUGUUCAAGAUUUAGGGUUCUUUCAUAAUUUUGGGGGAAUUGUUUGAUUGUAAAGCAGUUAAAUGUUGAUAUAAUUGUUGGGUUGCACUAUUUGUUUGAUUCAAGAAAGUAUCAAUCUUUCUUGUGGGGUACGAAAGUUUCAUUCUUUCUACACCGAUGUUGUUAUAUGCGAAUUGUAUCUGAGUUGUUAUGGAGUUUUAAUCUCCUAUUUUCUUGCAAAUUGUGCAUUUUGGUGAGUGUGGAGUAAACAUGAAUUCUUCAACUAUUAAAAUCGAUGGUCUUUUGGGUAUGCUUACUAUCAAAUUGAGACAUGAUAAUUUUGCAAAAUGGGCUUUUCAGUUUCAAUUUGUGCAAAAUGGGACUAUAGUUUGUCCAUUAAAAUUUGUCAUUACUACUGAUCUUGGUGUUACUAAGGAAGUUACAUAUGCAUAUCUUGAAUGGGAGUCUAUAGAUAUGACCUCUGUUUGAUGAAGCCAUGGAAUAUGUUAUUAGGUGUAGAACUGCUAAUGAAGCUUGGCUUAAUCUUGUUGAUCGGUAUACGUCUGUGUCUAAGUCCAGGGUAAAUCAUCUUAAAACAGAAUUGCAUACCAUAUAGAAAUGUGCUGAUUCCAUUGACAAGUAUCUUCUCAAGAUUAAAAACAUUAGGGAUCAGUUAAUUGCUACUGGAGAACCUGUGUCGGAUAAUGAUGUAAUCAUUGCUGGUUUGGCUGGUUUACCUAAGGAAUAUGCAAUUAUUAGAACUGUCAUUUUAGCUAAGGACUCUACUCUUACCUUGAAGGAAUUUAGAGCUCAAUUACUUGGGGCUAAAAAUGAGAUUGAAUGGGAGAUUAAUUCUUUAUCUCAUAGCUUAUCUGUUUUAUAUGUACAAGGGUCUGGUGUAGGGUCUUCUUUGUCCAAUGGCUCAUCGUCUAAUUCAUAGAAUCACAGCCAUAUACCUACAAGUAUUGGGGGUGUUCUUACUCAGAUUCCAUAUGGGUCUUCACAACUUACUCCACAAAAUCCUAAUGCUUCUACCUUUCAACCUGACUAUGUUAUGUAUCCUUAGCAGUUCUUCCCUGGUUAUUCUUCUCAAUCUCCAUAUAUUCCAUUACCUCAUUUUGGUUAUGGUUUUGUGGGUAACUCUGGACUUAAGCCUCCACCAUCUAAUUCCGGGUUUGGUUCAGGUUCUAAAUCUUUCAAUGGGCCAAAUUUCAGGGGUUCUCAUACAAAUAAGAACAAUACUGGGUACAAAGGUUGAAACUACAAUUAUAGGGGUUUUAAGCAGAAUAUGAAUACAAGUUGGUCUGGUAAUACUGAAGCAAGGAUGCACACUGUUAUUAAAUGUCAUAUAUGCAAUAAAAAGGGACACACAACAUCUAAUUGUUUUCACAGGAACACUUCUAGUCCUUCUUCUGGCUAUUUGAUUGAGUGUCAAAUCUGUGGCAAAAGAGGUCAUUCUGCACUUGAGUGUUAUCAUAGGGGAAACCAUGCCUAUCAGAGUCAAUCACCUCCAUCAUCCAUGACAGCAAUAGCAACUCAACAAACCUCUCAAGUCUAUCCUAGUGAUGCUUGGAUUGUCGAUUCAGGUUUCUUCCACCAUAUGACUGCAAAUGUCAGUAGCUUGUCACAAGUUGCUCAUUUUGAAGGCAAUGAGAAGAUCAUAAUUGAUAACAAGAGUUGGUUCAUUUGUGAUGAGUCUAAUUUCUUUGUGCAAGACAAGAAGACAAGGGAGGUCAUGUAUCAAAGAAUUGUUUCAAAUUCUAGUUCUUAAUCAAACUAAAGAAGUAUAGUCUACAGUUAUGGGAUCAGCUGCUUUGGUAGGACAAAUGGUGAAGUCAACUAGGUGGCACCAGAAGUUGGAGCAUCAUUCUAAUGAAAUAUAAUCUUGUAUGAUUAAGCAGUUUAGCAUUCAGAAUAAUAUAGAUGAUAAGCACAGUGUGUGUACUUCUUGUCUUUAGGGUAACAUGUCAAGAAUGUCUUUUCCAUCUAGGACUGAACAUUGUUUGUUUCCUUUUGAUAAGGUUCACACUGAUGUGUGGGGACCAUCACUUGUAAAUUCUUUAGAUGGAUAUCGAUAUUAUGUAAUCUUUGUUUAUGAAUAUACAAGAUACAGUUGGGUA